rnacentral:rRNA from 1 species
CGCGUAUACAAUCUACCCCCUACUGUGGGAUAGCCCAGAGAAAUUUGGAUUAAGACCACAUGGUACCAUUUUACGGCAUCGUAUUAAUGGUUAAAGGUUACGGUAGGGGAUGAGUAUGCGUCCCAUUAGUUAGUUGGCGAGGUAACGGCUCACCAAGACCGCGAUGGGUAGGGGCCCUGAGAGGGGGAUCCCCCACACUGGUACUGAGACACGGACCAGACUCCUACGGGAGGCAGCAGUGAGGAAUAUUGGACAAUGGGCGGGAGCCUGAUCCAGCCAUGCCGCGUGCAGGAAGAAUGCCCUAUGGGUAGUAAACUGCUUUUAUACGGGAAGAAAAAGAGCUACGUGUAGCUUACUGACGGUACCGUAAGAAUAAGGACCGGCUAACUCCGUGCCAGCAGCCGCGGUAAUACGGAGGGUCCGAGCGUUAUCCGGAAUUAUUGGGUUUAAAGGGUCCGUAGGCGGGCCGAUAAGUCAGUGGUGAAAGUUUGCAGCUCAACUGUAAAAUUGCCUUUGAUACUGUCGGUCUUGAGUUAUAGUGAAGUUGCCGGAAUAUGUAGUGUAGCGGUGAAAUGCAUAGAUAUUACAUAGAACACCGAUUGCGAAGGCAGGUGACUAACUAUAUACUGACGCUGAUGGACGAAAGCGUGGGGAGCGAACAGGAUUAGAUACCCUGGUAGUCCACGCCGUAAACGAUGGAUACUAGCUGUCCGGGUCCUUGAGACCUGGGCGGCCAAGCGAAAGUGAUAAGUAUCCCACCUGGGGAGUACGUUCGCAAGAAUGAAACUCAA